UAAUAGAUGAGUUUGGUGAUGGCUCUGAUUGAACACUGUCCAAAUGCUUGACACAUGCUAAUCGAACGUUUAAUUUAAUUAAUAAUUUUAUUAAAAGUGGUGAACAGGUGAAUAUUAGAUUAUCAUACUACCUUAAGGUAAGGGGGAAAAUCCCUUAUAUUAAUAAAGUGAACUACGCCUUAAGAUGACACGAUAAAUCAUAGAGAUAGGUAGUUGUUAAGGUAAUGGCUUAACUAGCCAACGACUCUCUUAGUCGAAACUGAAAGGGUUGAUCGACCACAUUGGGGAUGAAAAAAUCCCAAGGCAAAGAAGUACAGCAGUGGGGAAUUUUGGUCAAUGGCCUAACGGCUGAACUGGCAACUUGGAGGAAUGGCCUACCUUGUUUUUUUUGUGUAAUUUUGCAAGGAAUUAAAGUGUAAGUGGUUAAAUCCAUAUGGAAUAAAAUUCUAAAUAUAUAAUUUAUAAUGACAAUAUAUAUUUAUGUCUUGACUAAUUACGUGCCAGCAGUCGCGGUAAUACGUAAGAGACUAGUGUUAUUCAUCUUUAGUAGGUUUAAAGGGUACCCGGACGGAAAAAAUUUGCCUGAAAAGGAACAAUUUUUAUCUAGAGUUUAAUGUAAAAAGGUAGUACUCGUGGAGUAGAGAUAAAAUUCGUUUAUACCUAUAAGAGGACUGGUAAAGGCGAAAGCGACCUUUUAUGUAAAAACUGACGUUAAAGGACGAAGGCGUAGAGCACGAAUAGGAUUAGAUACCCUAGUAGUCUACGCAGAAAAUUAUGAAUGCCAUAAGUAAAGUUUUACUUUGCCUAUAAAUGAAAGUGUAAGCAUUUCACCUCAAGAGUAACGUGGCAACAUGGGAACUGAAAUCACUAGGCCGUUUCUGACACAAGUAGUGAAGUAUGUUAUUUAAUUCGAUGGUCCACGAAAAACCUUACCACAAUUUGAAUUAUAUUUGUAAUAUUUAUAUUAUAAAUAUAACUAGUGUUGCACGGCUGUUUUCAGUUAAUGUUGUGAAACUGUGGCUUAGACCAUGAAAUUAACAGGAUCCUUUACUUUAUUUAUAAAAAUUUUUUUUAUAAAGUUGUUUUAUCAAAUAUUGAUAGAAGAAUAAGGUUUAAGACAAGUCAUCAUGGCCUUUGUAUUGUGGGCUAUAGACGUGCCACAUAUACCUAGACAAAGAGAAGCGAAAAUGUGAAUUUUAGCUAAUCUCAAAAAAUAGGAUAAAAUUGAAUAUGGAUUAUAGUCUGAAACUCGACUAUAUGAAUAAGUAAUUACUAGUAAUCGUGAAUCAGCAUGUCACGGUGAAUAUAAUCUCGGACUGGUACUAACCACUCGUCGCAUGCUGAAAAGAGUGUGUGCAAUAAGUUUGCUUUAUUAUUAUAAGUAAGUAAAUAAUAGGGUUUAUAACUUAUAGUAAUAUUCUUCAUAUGUAUGACUCUAAUUAGUGUUAAGUCGAAAUACGGUUCGUGUAGUGGAAGUUGCACGGGAUGAAUUGAAUUU
rnacentral:rRNA from 2 species